rnacentral:misc_RNA from 1 species
GUACCCUCAAGCUCUGCUUGGUGUUGGGUGUUUGUUCCACUUGGGACUCGCCUUGAAACAAUUGGCAGCCGGCACAUUGGCCUGGAGCGCAGCACAUUUUGCGCCUCUUGUCAUGGUUGUUGGCAUCCAUCAAGACACUUUUUAAGC